AACAAGAGACUGGAAAUCACAACAGCCUUACACAGCAACAGGUGCAUGUCAGCCACCUCAACAAGGAGCGAUCUUACACUGUGCCUAAAUUAAGCAUUAUUCUGCCAGUUCAGCAGACCAGGAAGAAACGACUGACCUCUGUGGGAGUACUAUUAUGUGUUAAUCCUGGAUACUCCCCAGAAAAAAAGGAUAUGCUGAAGCAACUGGAGACUGGAACUGUAGUGCUCUAGCCGUUUACGACCUAUGUCCGUCGACGAGCAUAAGGAAGAUAUGCGCGGGAGCAUGAGUAGAAGCGGGAGCCGUGACACGGGGAGCGAGGGACACACUCCAGAGCCGCCAUCCCCGAUCUCCGGCAGCAGGGGCACAAAGAAGUGGCGAGAAGGCGGCUCAGAGGAGGAGCAAUCCGCACUGUUGACAUUCGAGGAACCCGCCUCCUCCUCCUCCCUCACUGCAGACCCCCCGCCGCAUCCCUCCUCAUCCCCUCCCUCCCAGCCGCAGUGCUGCCCCUCAGCGCCCGGCAGCUCUAUCGCACGCUGCUGUCAUGGAGGAGCCAAGAUGGCGGCCCUGGCCUACAAUAUGGGCAAGCGGGAAAUCAAUCAGCAUUUCAGCGUGAGGAAUGCCAAAGCGCUGUCCUUGGUGGCCGUGCUUCUAAUCUCCGUCUGCCAUGCCGUGUCCUGGGGAUACUUCCGAGGAGAAGGCACAUGUGAAUACCUUAUAUCCAGCGGCCGGUUCCUAGGAGAGAAUGUAUGGCAACCAUACAGCUGCAUGAUGCACAAGUACAAGAGCGGUGAAGCCAAGAGCUGUCUUGCAGAGCAAUAUGUAACAUUCGUUGGUGAUUCCCGGAUUCGCCAGUUAUUCUAUGCAUUUGUGAAGAUUCUAACUCCGCAAUACAAAGAGGAAGGAAACAAGCAUGAAAACAUAUAUUUUGAAGACAAAGCUGCUGCACUGAAAAUUGAUUUUUUGUGGUAUCCGGAAGUCAACAACUCCAUGAAGCAAGCCUUCCAGUCUCUGAGUGAGAAUGCUAUGGAAAAGCCUACAAAGGUCAUAGCAGGUGCUGCCACGUGGUCGAUAAAGAUAAACAAUGGAAGCCGUGAAUCUCUUGCUCAGUACAAAGUGAACAUGACUGCUGUGGCACCUGUUUUGGAAAAACUGGCUGAGGUCGGCGACGUCUACUGGUUCCUGCAAGAUCCAGUAUAUGAGCCAUUGUUAAGUGAAAGUCGCAAAAUGAUCACAAACCACAGGAUUGAUGCAUAUAAUGACAUUGCAGCCAGAAUAUUAAAUGGCACCAUCAGAAAAUCACAAAAUAAAGUAAAAAUUGUCAGUGUUUCCAGACUUAUAUCUGAAGAGAUCAUGUCCAAAUCGUUAGAUGGUCUGCAUCUCCCUGAACCAAGCAAAGAUAUAAGUGCCAUGGUUCUCAUGAACGCAUUCUGCAACAAAAUUGUAAAUCCCAUCGAUGGUUCAUGCUGCCAGCCUUCUCCUUCCCUUACCAUCAUACAGAAAUUAGCCGCAUGCUUUUUUAUUUUUGUCACGAUUGCUUUUGUAUCGGUCACCGUCAUCCAGCGGAACAAGCAUCGGAGGAAUAAACUAUGCAAUGAUAUAGAGAGUGGGGAGGAGAAGAAGCCAGCCACAGCAACACCUGCUGCCUCCAGCCUGGAGAUUCUUCUCCUUUCUCUCAGCAAACUGGGCCUUAUCAUGGCCUAUUUUUACUUCUGUGACAGAGCAAACUUGUACAUGAAGGAAAACAAGUUUUAUACACAUUCUUCUUUCUUCAUCCCAAUCAUCUACAUCCUUGUCUUAGGAGUGUUUUAUAAUGAAAACACUAAAGAGACUAAAUUAUUAAACCGGGAACAAACAGAUGAAUGGAAGGGGUGGAUGCAACUUGUCAUAUUGAUCUACCACAUCUCUGGAGCAAGUUCUUUUCUGCCAGUGUAUAUGCACGUCCGAGUUUUAGUGGCUGCCUACCUAUUCCAGACGGGAUAUGGACACUUUUCUUAUUUUUGGCUUAAAGGCGACUUUGGAAUUUAUCGCAUUUCCCAGGUUCUUUUCCGCCUGAACUUCCUAGUAGUCGUCCUUUGCAUAGUGAUGGACCGGCCAUACCAAUUCUAUUACUUUGUUCCCUUGGUAACAUUCUGGUUCAUGUUCAUCUAUGUCACCAUGGCUGUCUGGCCUCAGAUACUCCAGAAAACUGCAAUUGCAAACCGCUUGUGGAAUGUUGGCCUCAUGCUGAAACUUUCUUUCGCUUUGCUAUGCAUAGUUUUUCUGUCAUAUUCUCAGGGUGCCUUUGAGAAUUUAUUUUCCCUGUGGCCUCUUUCCAAGCUGUUUGAAUUAAAUGGGAAUGUUUACGAGUGGUGGUUCAGGUGGAAACUGGACCGUUUUGCUGUUUUCCAUGGGAUGCUGUUUGCCUUUAUCUACCUAUUGCUACAGAAGCAUCAGAUGCUCUUUGAAGGGAAAGGCGAAGCUCUUUUUUCCACCAAAGUUUCCAGUGUGCUGCUCUUCUUCUCUGUAGUAUCGUUUUUUACCUAUUCAAUCUGGGCCAGCAGCUGCAAGAACAAAUCGGAGUGCAAUGAGAUGCAUCCUUCUGUUUCUGUUGUGCAGAUUUUAGCUUUUGUGCUUGUAAGGAACAUUCCAGGAUAUGCACGUUCUGUAUAUAGCUCUUUUUUUGCCUGGUUUGGCAAAAUUUCUUUAGAACUAUUUAUAUGCCAGUAUCACAUAUGGCUGGCAGCUGACACAAAGGGAAUUCUGGUGCUCGUUCCUGGAAGUCCGAUGCUGAACAUAAUCAUUAGCACUUUUAUAUUUGUGUGCGUGGCACAUGAAAUCUCCCACAUAACCAACGACCUUGCGCAGAUUGUGGUGCCCAAGGAAAGCUCGGCCCUUACCAAGAGGCUGCUGUGCAUCGCUGGAUUCUUUUGUCUCCUUUUAAUGUUAUCGGCGCUGCAGAACACCUAGGAUUUCAUUUGUACGAGGCUGUAGGAGAGGAAUCCAUAGAUGGGAAUACUCUGCAGAACACUGUAAGUGCUGAAUCAAUGUAGAAGUCCAAUCUGGUUUUGCACUUGUGUGCGUGGAACAGGACAUUUUCAUACAAGAGCACUUCCGUUUACAUCAUUUUUUUGUUUGUGAGAAACUGACAGUUGGGACUUCCCUUUGGUUAAAACAAUAGCAAAGCUUCACUGACCACUCAAGCUGUGAAGAGGUUCAAUGAGCCGACUCCCCUUUAUUUCUACUGGGGGGGGGGGGCUGGACCAGUUUGGCCUUUACUGGUGGAUGCAAGCGCUUUGAGAGUGGUUUGUUUGCAGGGUGUACAGAUUUUAUUUUCUGCCGUUGUAGAUAAUAGGGAAUGUAAUAUUCGGAAUGAUUUUUUUUUUUUAUUUACCAGGGCAUUUCGUGUGUGCAAGGGAUGCGUGUCUCUAUUCUAUGUUUCAGAUUUAAAGGACGAGUAACCCCAAAUUACAGAUUUAAAGGACCAGUAGCCCCAAAUUACAGAUUUAAAGGACGAGUAGCCCCAAAUUACAGAUUUAAAGGACGAGUAAACCCAAAUUACAGAUUUAAAGGACGAGUAGACUCAAAUUACAGAUUUAAAGGACAAGUAAACCCAAAUUACAGAUUUAAAGAACAAGUAAACCCAAAUUACAGAUUUAAAGGACAAGUAGUGCAAUAUUAGUGAAGUGCACAGCAGCUUGGUGCUUUCGUCUCUGUUGCUUGAUGUCUUUCCCCAGCUCUCUGUCACUCAGGAGCAUCUGUGCAUUUUAUUAUCUGCUACAAGUAUGGGACCUGUUAUCCAGAAUGCUCAGGACAUUACGGAUCUUUCUGUAAUUUGGAUCUUCACACCUUAAGCCUAUUAGAAAAUCCUUUCAACAUUAAAUAAACCCAAUAGGCUGGUUUUGCUUCCAAUAAGGAUUAAUUAUAUCUUAGUUGGGAUCAAGUACAUGCGACUGUUUAAUUAUUACAGAGAAAAAGGAAAUCAUUUUUAAAAAUUUGAAUUAUUUAGAUAAAAUAGAGUCUAUGGGAGUCAGCCAUUUCAUAAUUCAGAGCUUUCGGGAUAAUGGAUCCCAUACCCGUACAGCACAUGGAGCAGUAUUGUGGAUCAGCGGUGGAGCAGUAUGUGAGGGAGGCCUCAGGACAUACAUUAUUUAAACAGUGUUCUUGUCCUUUAACUGCUGGUUUAAAAUCAGUCUCUUGUAUAUGAGCAGAUAUCCAUUUAGCAGCAGAAUUCACUGGGAUCUGCCCAUUUAUACUAAGCUGCUGCACAGGAUUCCCUCUCGUUCUCCUCUUCUCUUUAUUACACGGAACACAAGCGAGUUAUUUAUAAUUGGAUGUUAUUGAUUUAUUGUUGCACUUAAUGCCCACUUGGUUUUGGGGACUUUUCUUUUAAGAUGACGUGUGAAAUGUGAUCCAGCAGUAAAGGUUAUUGUAUGAAGCCCUCCAAUCAAUCUCUCACUCCAGACGGGACAUGCUAUUUAAAGUGUUUGUGUGAGAAUGAUACAGUUACGGAGCAAGCGAUAUCUUGUGGAAUCUUGUAUUUUACAUGUGUAAUAAACGGUUUUAAAAUCGUC